GUGCGUAGAAUGUGACGUGAAAACACUCGUUGCGCGUGUUCUGCGUACCGUGGUUCGAUUGGGCAGUCUGCCCGGGGAAUACGGCCGUGGGUAUUUACAGACGGCGCUGUCCGAUGACAGCACGCGUGGCGCGCUUGUAUAUAAACUCGCCGCCGCCGCUCGACUAAGCAUCAUCUGACGGACGAACAGUUCCUCGGCAGAUAAAACAUGAUCAGCACCAAGACCCUCCUUGUCGGACUCCUCGUCCUGGCCCUGGUGUUCACCAUCGCCACGGCACAGUACGGCGGCGGCGGACGCGGCUACGGCGGCGGUGGACGCGGCUACGGCGGCGGUGGACGCGGCUACGGCGGCGGCGGCGGCGGACGCGGCUACGGUGGCGGUGGACGCGGCUUCGGAGGCGGGCGUGGUUUCGGCGGCGGCCGUGGGUAUGGCGGCGGCGGCGGCUACAGAGGAUGAUUCUCGGUUGCUACGAUGGCGUGUCACUCUGUGAUCUGACAGCACCGAGGCCAAGUGCCGAACCAAAUGCUGCGCGUUGUGCUGAAAGAGACUUGCGAGAUCCGGCUGGACCUGUGAUCGCGGACCUCCGAGAAGUUGAUGUGGCUCUGUUGAACAUGGCCUCGAAUAAACAUUGCCUUCUGUGAGUGGCAUACACA